GCGCUCUUGGCGGAAUUGGCAGACGCAGUGGACUUAAAAUCCACCGCCUAUGGCGUACGGGUUCGAGUCCCGUAGGGCGCA
rnacentral:tRNA from 1 species